rnacentral:rRNA from 1 species
GUGCCAGCCGCCGCGGUAAUACGGAAGGUCCGGGCGUUAUCCGGAUUUAUUGGGUUUAAAGGGAGCGUAGGCGGGCUGUUAAGUCAGCUGUGAAAUCCGGCGGCUCAACCGUCGGCCUGCAGUUGAUACUGGCGGCCUUGAGUGCGCGCAGGGGCGUUGGAAUUCAUGGUGUAGCGGUGAAAUGCUCAGAUAUCAUGAAGAACUCCGAUUGCGAAGGCAGCUCACUGUAUCGCGACUGACGCUGAAGCUCGAAAGUGCGGGUAUCGAACAGGAUUAGAUACCCUGGUAGUCCGCACGGUAAACGAUGGAUGCCCGCUGUCCGGCCUUUGUGGCUGGGUGACCAAGCGAAAGCGUUAAGCAUCCCACCUGGGGAGUACGCCGGCAACGGUGAAACUCAAAGGAAUUGACGG